UUUGAUCGAGCCCAGCCACAAUGGCUGCUCGGCGCCGCGGGCGGCGCCGUAGGUGGCGAUCAGGGCGCCCGCCUC
rnacentral:antisense_RNA from 1 species